rnacentral:rRNA from 1 species
CCUACGGGAGGCAGCAGUGGGGGAUAUUGCACAAUGGGGGAAACCCUGAUGCAGCGACGCCGCGUGGGUGAAGAAGCGCCUCGGCGCGUAAAGCCCUGUCAGCAGGGAAGAAAAUGACGGUACCUGAAAAAGAAGCCCCGGCUAACUACGUGCCAGCAGCCGCGGUAUGACGUAGGGGGCAAGCGUUAUCCGGAUUUUCUGGGUGUAACGGGGGCGCAGACGGCGCUGCAAAACAGGCGUGAAAGCCCUGUGCCCAACCCCGGGACUGCUCUUGGAACUGAGUGGCUAGAGUGCAGGAGGGGCAAGCGGAAUUCCUGGUGUAGCGGUGAAAUGCGUAGAUAUCAGGAGGAACACCAGUGGCGAAGGCGGCCUUCUGGACUGCAACUGACGUUGAGGCCCGAAAGCGUGGGGAGCAAACAGGAUUAGAUACCCCGGUAGUC